AUCGCUUCUCAGCCUUUUGGCUAAGAUCAAGUGUAGUAUCUGUUCUUAUCAGUAUAAUAACUGAUACAUCCUCUAUCCAAGGACAAUAUCUUAAUUUUAAUAUAGUAAUGAAGCGUUUGAACUUAC
ensembl:snRNA U2 U2 spliceosomal RNA